AUUGAACGCUGGCGGAAUGCUUUACACAUGCAAGUCGAACGGCAGCACGGACUUCGGUCUGGUGGCGAGUGGCGAACGGGUGAGUAAUACAUCGGAACGUGCCCAGUCGUGGGGGAUAACGUAGCGAAAGCUACGCUAAUACCGCAUACGAUCUAAGGAUGAAAGCGGGGGACCGUAAGGCCUCGCGCGAUUGGAGCGGCCGAUGGCAGAUUAGGUAGUUGGUGGGGUAAAGGCUCACCAAGCCGACGAUCUGUAGCUGGUCUGAGAGGACGAGCAGCCACGCUGGGACGGAGACACGGCCCAGACUCCUACGGGAGGCAGCAGUGGGGAAUUUUGGACAAUGGGCGCAAGCCUGAUCCAGCCAUUCCGCGUGCAGGAUGAAGGCCCUCGGGUUGUAAACUGCUUUUGUACAGAACGAAAAGGUCUCUAUUAAUACUAGGGGCUCAUGACGGUACUGUAAGAAUAAGCACCGGCUAACUACGUGCCAGCCGCCGCGGUAA
rnacentral:rRNA from 1 species